UACGUAGGGGGCAAGCGUUGUCCGGAUUUAUUGGGCGUAAAACGCUCGCAGGCGGCUCGAUGCGUCGUGCGUGAAACACCCCGGCUCAACUGGGGAGGGUCGUGCGAUACGGUCGGGCUGGAGGCCAGUAGGGGGAUGCGGAAUUCCGGGUGUAGUGGUGGAAUGCGUAGAGAUCCGGAGGAACACCAGCGGCGAAGGCGGCAUCCUGGACUGGUCCUGACGCUCAGGAGCGAAAGCGUGGGGAGCGAUCCGG
rnacentral:rRNA from 1 species